UGAGCAAUCUGCCCUUCUCAUCGGAAUAAGCGUUGGAAACGACGUCUAAUGCCGAAUACGACCUCCUUUCGCAUGAUCGGAGGUGGAAAGCUCCGGCGGAGAAGGAUGAGCUCGCGGCCUAUCAGCUAGUUGGUGUGGGUAAUGGCCCACCAAGGCGACGACGGGUAGCCGGCCUGAGAGGGUGACCGGCCACACUGGGACUGAGACACGGCCCAGACUCCUACGGGAGGC
rnacentral:rRNA from 1 species